CUCCUUUUUUUGCGCUCUGAGGAAGUUCAGAGUUAAGCAUGUUCUGUUGUUACAAGGAGUGGCCUCUUCAAAUGGGUGGAAGCAGCCCCUCCUUGUUUCUUCGGUCCUGACUCCAUCUCUUUGCCUGUGGCUGGAACAGCUGUUGCAGAGGCUGAGGAUUCUGGGUACACAGCACUGGGGCACCGCUGCCAGUCAUGCUCAUCCUCAGCACAGCUGCCACUCUCCAUGCAGAAAAACUCCAGCAAAACUUCAUUGCAGGGCUUCUUCUUGUGAGUUGCUUUGGUAAUAAAGAGCUACACACUUGAAUGUGUAGAAAACGUGGUUUUCAGUCCUCUGGGUGGAUGUGAUAUAUUGCACAAUGAAAAUCAGUCAGCACUCUUCCCUCAUUGAAAGAUGGCAAGACAGUUUCCAAAAUACAACCCAUGGGACACAGUCAGUCAGCUCACUGAUUACUUUACAAGGAUCAUUUCUGCAGCAGACAGGCCCACACGAAAUCUGAGCCUGUAGAAAAUUCAGCAGAUUACUGUUACUGCAACAUUUUCUUUAAAAAAUGUACAUAUAUUUGUGUUUUCAUUUAUUUGGCUAAUUCAAUUCAUACUUCUUUUUUUUUUAUUCUGUAGAAUCCAGUUGUUCCUAAAAUCUGUCAGCCUUCGAUGACAACACUGUUGGCUAUCGAACUCUUUUGCAAAUAAAUACUAAAAGCUGGAAUACACUACAAGAGUUUUGCCCAGAUUUUAGCUCUGAUUUGCAGCCUGGACAAGUUGACUCCAGUUGCUCAAAGUCAGAGCCAGACUGCAGAUUUUGGGCAAUCAGAGUUGACAGAUUUUUACAGAAAAACACGUUGUGUAUGAUGGGCACUGAUUUUUUUUUUUUUUUUUUUAGUUUAAGACUUUUGCUGCAUCACAAUUGAUAUACUAUCCAUCCUAAAUAGAAUUAAGAAAUUAAAACUAGAAUUAAUGUGUUCCAAAUUGUAGUAUGCUGAAUUGAGUAUUCCAAAGGUACAUUAAUAGUCUAUAUACUAUCUCCAAAAUUCAAUGAAAAUUUAAAAGUGCAGGUCCAUGCACACUCAGGUGUAUUGCCUGCAACCCAUUACGCUUUGGAGGAGAAUUUGGCUUGUAAACUACAAACAUGAAUUAAAAGCAUGAAAAAACUACAAGCAUGAAGAUUGAGCAAGACCAGUGGCUAAGUAGAGAGGUUUUGAUAAAACGGUUUGUUCAUUAUUGAUGAGCUGGUUACACUUUAUUUUAAGGUAUCCUUGUUACAGUGUAAUUUCAAUACUGAGUAAUAUUAUUUAACUACAUGUACUUACUAUAUGGUUAGGAUUAGGGUUAGGGUUUGGUUUAGGGUUACUUACAUGUAAUUAUGCAUAAUGUAUUGUUACUAUAAUAGGAAGUACAUGUAACGUGUAACAAGGACGCCUUGAAAUAAAGCUACUGAAUAAACUGAAUCAACAUCAAACUGACUUGAGCUGAAUAACUAGACUCUCUUCAGUAGAUUAGCUUUUCAACUGAACUUUUUCAAAAUGAAUGAACUUUACACAGUUAUUGAAUUGAACCAAC
ensembl:lncRNA